ensembl:ncRNA F38B6.17 ncRNA
CAGGGCAGUGUAGUCAAAUGGUCUAAAGGACGGACCCAACAGACCCGCCAGUUAUCCCAAUGACAGAAGAGCAACACGCGCCGGCAGGCAGCCAUCGUUCCCUCGAGAUUCAUUGAUAUUCGCGCUUUGUUGGUGCGAAUGUUAUAUUUCAUAUUUUUGGGUGUGCGUGAGUUGCACACGCCGUUCGACAGAAUAGAGAGUUGUGCU